GAUGAAUGCUGGCAGUGUGCCUUAGGCAUGCAAGUCGAACGGUGAAGCCUCAAAGCCGCAAGGUAGAGAGGUGGAGCAGUGGCAGACGGGUGAGUAUAAAGUAGGGAUGUACCUCUUGGUGUGGAACAGCUCGCCGAAAGGCGGGGUAAUACCUCAUAAGUUCGUAAGAAGAAAGCGCUUAACCGCGCGCCGAGAGAUCAGCCUGCUUGCUAUCAGCUAGUUGGUAGGGUAAUGGCCUACCAAGGCGACGACGGCUAGGGGGCGUGAGAGCGUGGCCCCCCACAAGGUUACUGAGAUACGGAGCCUACACCUACGGGUGGCAGCAACCGGGAAUUUUGGGCAAUGGACGAAAGUCUGACCCAGCGACACUGCGUGCGGGAUGAAGGUCUUCGGAUCGUAAACCGCUGUGGUAGAGAAUGAAUACAAUGACAGUACUCUAUUAGAAAGCACCUGCUAACCACGUGCCAGAAGCCUCGGUAAUACGUGGGGUGCAAGCAUUAUCCGGAAUCACUGGGCGUAAAGAGUAUCGUAGGCGGUUUGUUAAGUGGUAGGUUAAAGCCUGAAGCUCAACUUCAGAGGUGCCUAUCAAACUGGCAGACUAGUGGAAAUUCGGGGGUAUCGGAAUUCUUGGUGGAGGUGUGAAAUCCGUUGAUAUCAAGAAGAACACCAAUGGCGAAGGCAGAUACCUAGGGUUUUCCAGACGCUGAUGAACGAAAGCUAGGGGAGCGAAAGGGAUUAGAGACCCCUGUAGUCCUAGCCGUAAACGAUGGACACUAGCUAUCCGAUUUAUCGGGUGGCGCAAGCUAACGCGUUAAGUGUCCCGCCUGGGGAGUACGACCGCAAGGUUA
rnacentral:rRNA from 1 species